rfam:Schistocephalus solidus strain NST_G2 genome assembly, scaffold: SSLN_scaffold0000475
GGCCUCUUAGCUCAUUUGGCUAGAGCGUUGGCUGUACUAAAGCCUUCCCCUUGCUGGCGUGGGUUCGAAUCCCACCGAGUCCG